UCUUCUUCUUGUUCUUCUUCAUUG
rnacentral:sRNA from 1 species